UUUUAGGUGUGACAAACAACUGUCAGGUGAACAAAACUGUUAUAUUCUGUGCAUUAUAAUAUGUUACGAGAGUAUAAUAUAAAAUAUUGUGUUUCAGUAUACAAUAUAUAGAAACAAAUGCAGCGUAAAAGGUACCAGGAAGUUUGUGAACACAACAAUUGGUCAAUUCCCUGAUUUGAACAUCAACAAUAAUGUAUUGAGAGAUAUAAAGUAAUAUGUGUUCGAAUCAUGAUUUGUGUGUGAAAAAAAUAUCCGUAUGUUCGCGUCAACUAUAAAUAAUAAAAAUAGUAAAAUUUUGAAAUGUUAUCAGCAUUAAUUCGCAAAGGAACUUUAUGUAAAUUGAUAUAUGUAGAUACGUAAAUUAAGGGUAAAUGUGAAGCAACACAUUCCGACUAAAGAAAGGAAAAAUAAAAUUUCGUCGUAACCAUAUAAUUAAAUAGUUAAUUUGUACAUUUCAAGUAAACGUGUGAUACAUUAAUAUAAUACAUCAAUCUAUAUAUUUAACUAGUUAAAUAAAAAGUAACACUCCACAAACGUCCGUGAAUAUUUCAAUUUGUUAAAUGUGGUAUACCGAAUAAGAGAUAAAAUCAAUAGCUUCGGUAUAGUAUUACCAUUUUGUUAAGGUUGAAGUUACAAAACAGUUCCUUACUAGAGUAUUAAAUUGUGUUGCUCCGAAGUGAGUGAGUGCAAUACGAUUAUUUACACAUUAUUAAAACUUUCAUAAAUUAAACACAAAUACGUGGAACUGCAUAUGUAAAUGUAAAUAUCUACAGUAUACGCAAAUGCAUAUGUAUGCAUUGAUGAAAGGAUUUAAUUAAAUUUAUCCAGGAAAUCUUUGUCGUAAAUUUCCAGUAUUUGAAAUAAGAAAUUAGUAAUUUAUUCAAAUACAAAAAUGGAACCCAACAAGUCAUUUUCUCUUAAUGAAGCGCAACCAAGUAGCCUGGUGGGAUCUAAUAAUUCCAAAGCGCAAGUCGGAUGUGUAAUCACUCAAACGCCAAAUGGAAGCAUAUGUAAAGAGAAUUCAUUUCUGAAGAAUCAUUCUAACAAAGCUAUAAUUGAACAAAAGUUACCUAAUGGAACUAUAAACAAUACUAAUGAUUCUGAAAAUUAUGCAAAUUUCGUGCAAAUUCCGGUGGAGACCCUGCAAUACCAUCGCCGGAAGCUGACACCACAAGAACAAGCUCGAAUGUCUUGUAAUACGGACUACAGGUGCCAAGAUGAUGUUUUUAAAGCAGCUAUAAACGGACGAUUGGGAUCUGCAUCUAUUUUAUCAUCAUCGUUAGAAAGUCAACCAUAUUUUAAUCCUUUGGGUCAACAGAUUCAACAUCAAAAUCAAGCAGUUCGAAAUUCAAUGCAACUAAAUCAAAAAUCAAUUUGCAUGCCGAAUGGACUUUUUGACUGUAACGAAGGAGUAUUUAAUUUUGACGAAAGAAAUGAAAGUAAGGAAGGGCUAAUCGCAGCAUCUACUCAAACCCAAUAUUAUGAGAAUCAGACCAAUAAUAAUUGCGAUGCCUUUUCUUCAGAUAUCAAAAUUGAUUCUGGUGGAGAAACCUUGACUCCUACAGUCUCUUCAGGGCAUAUGAUGUACACAGUACAUCGAGUGGUUACAACAUCCCAAAUUCAAACUGCACUUGGGAAUACUUAUGCUUCUUCUUCUAGUGUUUCGAGCGUUGUCAGCGCUCUUCGAAACGAUAAUUUGGUAACUCCUACGAGUAUAUCUACAAAUUUGACAACUAUACCUGGAAACGGUAUUGUAGGAAUUUCAGGCAAUGUUUUAAGCAAAAUGGAUGAUAACUCGAAUACAGCCAACAACGUUAUAAUAAGCGGAGCGGGUAUAUCAGAUCCGCAACCAUCUGAAGAUACGGAUAUUUUGACCAAUGGCGACCAUAAGUUAAACAUUAAAUCAGAUCACUCUAGAUUGCAAAGUACAUCAUGUAAUAAUUCAGUUAUUAUAAAUAAUAUAAAUGGAUCCAAAUCUACAUCAUUGAUUCAAAGGCCCUUGCAAAAUGUAAUACCGACAUGCGUAUAUUUGAUGUCGCGCAUUGCUGUACAUAUGGAAAUAGAAGGAACAUCUCAAUGUCCCACACAAGUAAUGCUAGCUGCUGCUUUGGGAUGUGAAGAGUUAGGUAUUGCGAACAAGUUACUAGCGCAAAGUAUUUUUGGAUUAUGGAUGACGAGUGGACUCUUAGAUAUACAGUUGAAAUCACAUCACCGACCUUAUGCUGUUAGAGUAGCAUGGCAAUCUCUACUAGACAAAUUCAGCAGCGGCAAUGCAAUUGAAAAAAAAUUUGAUGAUCCCAUGAUAAUGCUUAAACGAAAUGUUUUUUUCUCAAAACGUGACGAAGAGAAAAUUAAAGACCAACGCAUUUUAGAGUUAUUAUACGAAGAAGCCAAGUAUAAUGUUUUAUCUGGUCGAUAUGUAAUGGAAUCGUCCCAUGCUUUUAUGUUAGGUGGUAUACAGGCAAGAAUUGAAUUGGGUCCAUAUAAUUCUCAUACACACACCAUUGGUUUUCUUAGAGAAAACCAGUUAAGAUUCCUACCGCAACAUGUUGCAAGGAGUAUGAGUUGGGCUUGGUUACCAGUCAGUCGAAAGAAUUCGGCUGAAGUUAAGCUUUUAGAACAACUCAAACGUGUUCCUUCAACUGCGACAACAAAGAAACUUAUGCGCAAGUAUUUGGAAUUUUGCUGGGCACUUCCAUUUUAUGGAGCUGUUUUUUUCCACGGGCAAAUGGAGCAACCGGUUCGCGGUCUAAUGAGUUUGGUUAGUCACAAAGAUGUAAGAGUUCUUAUAGCAGUCAAUGAACGUGGAAUAUUUAUUAUAGAUCCUUUAGAGUGUAUCAGAGAACGGCAAGGGUACACCCUAACAAUAAGUGUACCCGAAUCAUUUGUGCGUUUACGACACUUAUAGCCCUGAAAGGCGACAGCGCUAAUAUGCAUUAGCGGGCUUAAUUUACAUUUAUUUGCGCAUUUGACCCAUGUGAAUGCAAGUUUGUAAUGCACAAGAAUUUCGUGCAUUUGGCUGAAUUUAGUAGGCAACAUUGGUUAAAAAUGACAGAUUUUUGCUAUUGUUUGACAGAUGUCGCUUGAAAUCUGCCGCGUUGUUUGUGUUUACAGCUUCAGAGAUGGCAGAAAAACUACAACGUUUGCUCUCCAUUUUUCCAAUAUUCUUCACUUUUUCACACACUUUCAUUUCACUUUUUGUUUUAAUAAAUAAACAAAUUUCACGAUCAGCUGUCCAAAUGCACAAGUCUGCCGUCUGUCACCAUAAAACUUCAAUGCGCAUUAGCGUUGCUUAAGGCGCAUUAAUUUUGCUCGUCUGUCAGGGCUAUUAGAGUGUGAUCACCACACUAAAAUCAAGAUUGUUGCCUUGUACUGAUAAUUUCGAUCAUGCUCAUACGCACAAGCUCAAAUCAAUUUCGUGCUCUUUUUCCGCAUGCAUACAUGAGUUGAGGUCGACGAAAAUGCUAAAGCAAAAGGAAUGAGCGAAAUUGAGAGCACAACACUUGAGACAAACAAUAUGUGAGAGACAUGUGUGUUGUUGUUAUUCUUACAUUAGCUUUAUACAUGCAUACAUAUUUGUUUUUGAAUAUGCACAUAUGCAUACAUAUAUGUGAAAUGAAAAUAAAAAGCCGUGUUUUGCUGCUUCAUUGCUUGUUAUAUAAGUUAACACCGGUAAACACGUAUCCGGUCAACACUCCACUCCCACCGAUAUUGCUGACGGUGCGUCGGCAGGUUUGAGUGUGGAAAUAGCGUAACAACAACUCUCCCACGGAUACUGAUGACGAAGCGUCGACUAGGUAGCGCGUGACAACAACAAAAUCGUUACAGCGGAAAAGCAAGAGGUAAAUUGCCGAAUUGCAUUUUGCAAGUCACACGGCAAAACAUGUUCAGCAACUGACAGAUAAAACAAAGAGUCAGGUAUUUAGGCGUAGUUGUAGCAAUAUUUUAUUAAGCAAAUCAGUUGUAAUAACUCGACCGAUACAAACGGCUGCUCUUGUGUAAACAGGAGAAAUAAAAAAGAUUAAAACUCAACAAGUGUUUUAAUGAUUGGCGCCCAACGUGGGCCCAUAGUGCAGUUCUUGUGUUAUCCUUAUAGAGGACAAAUCCUGUGCGUGGCCGUGGUUCGAAUCCACCCGACAGUCGCGGAAAAACAUUUAACUUAAUUAACACUACAUAAAUAGUGAGAGCUACGAACAAUUUUCUAUUUUGAAAAAUUUUAACCGCAACCAUUUCAUUAAACUCUUAUUGCAUUAAACAUAUUAUUUUGUGAAAUUUAAACACUACCUAACCGUGGGAGAAAGUGUGGAGCGAAUGCUCUAAGAAAUAAAGCAUCCUAAUCAUCGUAAUCCUGUCUUCCUGCUGCUGGAUCACAACCCCACGAAUCAUCGUGCUACUGCCUUAUCAUACCUUAUUUAGUGACAUAGCUUAUCGAGAUAUGGAAAAUUUCAUACUUUACUAAUUGGACUAAGGUAUGAGGAUUUAUCAUGGGACUUUGCCAAACCUAGUGUGAAUAAUGAUCCUGACUGCCAAACUUGCAUAUUUAUUC